UGGCGGCGUGUUAAGACAUGCAAGUCGAGCGCUGAUUACGGGGUAGCAAUAUCCGUAGUCGGAGCGGCGCAAGGGUGCGUAACACGUGGGUAAUCUGCCGUGAAGUCUGGGAUAACUUGCUGAAAGGCGAGCUAAUACCGGAUGUGAAAAUUGGAAGGCAUCUUUUGAUUUUCAAAGUUGGGGACCGUAAGGCCCGACGCUUCAUGAUGAACCCGCGGCCUAUCAGCUAGUUGGUGAGGUAACGGCUCACCAAGGCUAAGACGGGUAGCUGGUCUGAGAGGACGACCAGCCACACUGGAACUGAGACACGGUCCAGACACCUACGGGUGGCAGCAGUCGAGAAUUUUUCACAAUGGGGGAAACCCUGAUGGAGCGACGCCGCGUGGGGGAUGAAUGGCUUCGGCCCGUAAACCCCUGUCAUUCGCGAACAAUGUUCCGGCAUUAACACCGCCGGGAUUGAUAGUAGCGGAAGAGGAAGGGACGGCUAACUCUGUGCCAGCAGCCGCGGUAAUACAGAGGUCCCAAGCGUUGUUCGGAUUUACUGGGCGUAAAGGGUGCGUAGGCGGUCGGGUAAGUCUGAUGUGAAAUCUCAGAGCUCAACUCUGA
rnacentral:rRNA from 1 species